rnacentral:rRNA from 1 species
UACGAAGGGGGCUAGCGUUGUUCGGAAUCACUGGGCGUAAAGGGUGCGUAGGCGGGUGGGUGCGUUAGAUGUGAAAUCCCCGGGCUUAACCUGGGAACUGCAUUUAAUACGGCACAUCUAGAGUGCGAGAGGGGAAAGCGGAAUGGCGAGUGGAGCAGUGAAAUGCAUUGAGAUUCGCUAGAACACCAGAGGCGAAGGCGGCUUUCUGGCUCGCUACUGACACUAAGGCACGAAAGCGUGGGGAGCAAACAGG